AACGCGAAGAACCUUACCUACCCUUGACAUGUCUGGAAAGCCGAAGAGAUUUGGCCGUGCUCGCAGGAGAACCGGAACACAGGUGCUGCAUGGCUGUCGUCAGCUCGUGUCGUGAGAUGUUGGGUUAAGUCCCGCAACGAGCGCAACCCUUGUCAUUAGUUGCUACGCAAGAGCACUCUAAUGAGACUGCCGGUGACAAACCGGAGGAAGGUGGGGAUGACGUCAAGUCCUCAUGGCCCUUAUGGGUAGGGCUUCACACGUCAUACAAUGGUCGGGACAGAGGGUCGCCAACCCGCGAGGGGGAGCCAAUCUCAGAAACCCGAUCGUAGUCCGGAUCGCAGUCUGCAACUCGACUGCGUGAAGUCGGAAUCGCUAGUAAUCGCGGAUCAGAAUGUCGCGGUGAAUACGUUCCCGGGUCUUGUACACACCG
rnacentral:rRNA from 1 species